AAGAGGGAUCUAUUGUCACCUCCAGGGAAUCCCAGCGAGGGGACGUGGGAUUGUCUUGGAUUCUCCUCUGCAUGGCUGGCAGCCUUUUAGGUAGGGCCACCUCGUUGCUGGGCACCAUCUGUAGGAGCAUUUCUUCCCCUCCUUCCUUUGUGAUGGGAAUCACCAAGUCACCUACUUCAAUGCAGUCUCUGCAGGUGGAUUUGGGAGUCAGAAGCUGCAGGUGGAAUGAGAGACAGUGGUAGGAGAGUGAAAGGACAGCAGAAAGUGCUCUAAUAUCAUUUCUGUGUGCUGGGUUGCGCACCCAUCAUGUUUUGGGAAAGAUCCUUUAGUGGAAUCUCCUGGUUCUACAAAUAAGAAACUGGAAUGUGGCAGUUAAGUAGCUUUUCUGAGAAACAGCUGCGGGCAUUUCCCUGCCAGAGACUUGGACACACUUUCAGUUUAUGUUGGUGGAAAAUGAAUGUUUCAGUCCGUUUUCUGUGGUUUACAACAAAAUACCUGAAACCGGGAAAUUUAUAAAGAAAAGAAAUUUAUUUCUUACAGUUGUGGAAGCUGAGAAGUCUGGGGUCAAGAGGGCUGUGUCUGGUGAGAGUCUUCGUGCUGGUGGGGACUCUGCUGAAUCCCGAGGCCAUGCAGGCCAUCCCAUGGAGCUGUCUAACGAUCUCCAAUCUUAAAAAGGAGCACACAGCAAGCGUGGAGGGCACCUAACUAAGAAGUCCUAUAGAGACUGGAGGGACCCGAUGAUCAAAAAGAAGUUUUGAAUGACUUGGAUUAGCAAAUGCUAAACACCUUGGAACUUAAAAAGAAAAGAUGUAAAGGAAAUAUGGAAUAAAGGAGAGAUUUACUAUUUGAGAAAAGUAGUGAAACUCCAAAGGCACUUUCAAAUCAAUACCAGGAAGCGCAUUUUCAUAAAUCUAUGGCAGAUAGAAAGAACUGUCCUGAGAAGGAGCAGCAUGACCAGGCGUGGUGUUGUUUAACCUCUUGGUUGUGAUGCCGGAGAGGAGAUGCUAAUUAGA
rnacentral:lncRNA from 1 species